rnacentral:rRNA from 1 species
UAAUGGCAGGUACAGCGGGAAGGCCAUGCGGCGACGCAGAGCAGAACCCGAAAAACCUGUCUCAGUUCGGAUUGGAGUCUGCAACCCGACCUCCAUGAAGCUGGAUUCGCUAGUAAUCGCGCAACAGCCACGGCGCGGUGAAUACGUUCCCGGGCCUUGUACACACCGCCCGUCAAGCCAUGGAAGCCGGGGAGUGCCUGAAGUACGCGACCGCAAGGAGCGUCCUAAGGUAAAAACCGGUGACUGGGGCUAAGUCGUAACAAGGUAAC